GGCCCUUGCUGCCCCAUUGGUGCCUGCUGCUGUUUUAAGAGCAUCAGAACCCAUCGGCCAACCUCCAGGGAAGCACCCCUCUCCCUGCUUGCUUGGGGCCGAAAAUCCCGACCCUCAUGUUUCUAAAGAGAAUUGGGAUCCUAUGUGAAUAAGGUGGGAAAACUGGAAAGAUUGAAUGUCCUUUGGAGUUCACAAAGGUUUGGCAGUGGGAUGAGAAAAACAAAACGAAGCAUAGUGGGAGUGUUGAACAGACUUUCCCAAGAUUCCCAGGAGUCUAUGAUGCUGCUCAAACCAAUAACUUUACUGCAAGAAAUGACAACUUCAUCUCUCAGAGAACCACAGAUCAGAUGCAGAAAAGUAAUUCUUGGAUAAAUUAUAUCAUGGGAGAUACACAGCUCAGCUACAAAGUCCAGCGAUACAACAGACAAAAACAGAAAGAGUCAUGGGAAAACUUGAUGCUGAAAUUAGAAUUCCUAGCAUUGACUGUUACUUCUGUGGGGGGUUGGAGCUGAUGCCUCUUGGAUUAACAGUGCUUCUUUUUUUUAAUUGUACUUUAAGUCCUGGGGUACAUGUGCACAUCCUGCAGUGUUGCAGCAUAGAUACUCACAUGCCAUGGUGGUUUGCAGUCUCCUUCUGGCGGUCUCCUACAUCAGGCUUUCUCCCAGUGUUUUCCCUCCCCAGCCUCCCCGCCCUCUGCUGCCCCUCCCCUAGCCCCCAGCCUCCAACCUACCCCAGUGUGUGAUGUUCCCCUCCCUAUGCCCAAGUGUUCUCAUUGUUCAACACCCUCCUAUGAGUGAAAACAUUCAGUGUUUGGUUUUCUGUUCUUGUGUCAGUUUGCUGAGAAUGAUGGUUUGCAGAUUCAAAGGACACAAACUAGUCAUUUUUUAUGGCUGCAUAUUAUUCCAUGGUGUAUAUGUGCCACAUUUUCUUUAUCCAGUCUAUCCUUGAUGGGCAUUUGGGUUGGUUCCAGGUCUUUGCUAUUGUAAACAGUGCUGCAAUGAACAUACAUGUGCAUGCGUCUCUAUAGUAGAAUGAUUUAUAAUCCUUUUGGUAUAUACCCAGUAAUGGGAUUGCUGGGUAAAAUGGACUUUCUAUUUCUAGAUCCUUGAGUAAUCACCACACUGUCUUCCACAGUGGCUAAACUAAUUUACACUCCCACCAACAGUGUAAAAGUGUACCUUUUUCUCCACAUCCUCUCCAGCAUCUGUUGUCUCCAGAUUUUUAAUGAACACCAUUCUAACUGGUGUGAGGUGGUAUCUCAAUGUGAUUUUGAUUUGCAUUUCUCUGAUGACCAGUGAUGAUGAGCAUUUUUUUGUUUUGUUUUUUUUUUUUUUUUUUUUUUUUUUGAGACGGAGUUUCGCUUUUGUUACCCAGGCUGGAGUGCAAUGGCACGAUCUCGGCUCAUUGCAACCUCCGCCUCCUGGGUUCAGGCAAUUCCCCUGCCUCAGCCUCCUGAGUAGCUGGGAUUACAGGCACACGCCACCAUGCCCAGCUAAUUUUUGUAUCUUUAGAAGAGACGGGGUUUCACCAUUUUGACCAGGAUGGUCUCGAUCUCUUGACCUCGUGAUCCACCCACCUCAGCCUCCCAAAGUGCUGGGAUUACAGGCUUGAGCCACCGCACCCUGAAUUUUUUCAUAAGUUUGUUGGUCGUACAAAUGUCUUCUUUUGAAAAGCGUCUGUUCAUUUCCUUCACCCACUUUUUGAUGGGGUUGUGUACUUUUUUCUUGUAAAUCUGCUUUAGUUCUUUGUAGAUUCUGGAUAGUAGCCCUUUGUCAAAUGGGCAGAUAGCAAAAGGUUUUUCCCAUUCUGUUGGUUGCUGAUUCGCUCUAAUGAUUGUUUCUUCUGUUGUGCAGAAACUCUUAAGUUUAAUUAUCCCAUUUGUCUAUUUUGGCUUUUGGAUUCAUUUUUAGGAUGCAUAAAAGGAAAUUACCUGUCUAUGAAGGGCAAUUUGGUGUGCUUCUCAAAAAUACAAACAAAAAAAGGAGGAAAAACAAACACAUUCUGAAUUCUAACAAUUAUUAUUUUUAGGAAUUUAUCUUACAAAUAUGUUCACUCAUGUGAAAGAGACUUACAUACAAAGACUAUUUGAAAGAAUUGUUUGUACUAUUAAAAGACUGAACACAACUAGAUCUGGAAGGAAACAAUAAAUUAUGCAAAUCCAUUUAGUGCAACAUCCUGUAGCUAUUAAAACUGGGGAACAAUUAAGGGAGAUUGAAGGAUAUUGAGGUAUAUAGUCAUAUUAAAACAAAGAAUGAUUUCUAAGAUAGAUAAUUUUGUAAAACAAAUCAACUUGCCAAAAGUGUAUAAUAAAGUAUAUUUCUGUAGAUCCUUACACAUGUAUAGAAAUACAAAAGCUAAAUUAAAUCCACCUGAAAAUCAAUGAAAUCAUAGAAUUUUGUGAGACUUAUGAAUGAGUUAUGUGAAAGACAAGAAUCAUUGCUCUCUCAGAAUAAAGAAGAAAUUGGCAGUGAGAUGAAAAUUAUAAAAGAAUAUUGGUAUGGAAGAGUGAGAAGAGUCAACUCAAGUGGAUUUCUUGUUCUUAAGAAAGAUCCCAGAAAAAAAGGAUAGAAUCAAUAACAUAAUGAAAGAAUAAUUUCUUAAGCUAAAGAAUUAGGCAACAUUAUGAACUUAUGGAAUCCAUACUUUGAAAUUUAGGAACAAAAAAUAGAGUAUUUUAGUUACCUAGGUAGGUAAGAAAUACCUACAUAGGAGAAAAUAUGAUUUUAAACUUCACUUCUAAAACAUUAUUUUUUAAAUCAAUAUCAAAAUAUAAAUAUAAAAUAAUUGCCAUAAUUUUGAAAUUAUCUUUUACCUAAAUUAUUAAUCACAUUGGACAUUAAUUUUGGACAUACAUGAGUAACAGUAGGAUAAUCCUAGGAAAAAGAUAUACACACAUGCAUAUGACAAAACAUGUGAUAGGAUGUUUAAAAACAAAAACAUUGAUCAGUUCAACUAAAAAUAGCAAAGCCGGCAAUAUUAUUUCAUACAAUGUAAAUACAUUUUUAUGACAAAAAUAUUAAACUAUAUAUAUAUACAAAAAAGUAGAAUAGAAUAUUCAAAAACUGUGGGACUACUAAAGAUAUAACAUAUAUAUAAUGGGAAUAUGAAAAGAAGCAAUAAUAAAAAAAGGGACAGAAGCAAUGUUUAAAUCAAUAACUAUUAAUAUUUGCUUGCUAAAUUAGCAUAACACUAUUAGAAAAAUAAGGGUAAACAUAAGGUAAGAAACAUGUAAUUUCUUUGAGAAAUUCUACCUCCAUCUUUGUCUUUCUUUGAUAAGGCAAUAAAUCAAAGCAAAAUACUUGAAAAAUAUAAUACGUAAGACCACAUUUCUAGGUAUACAUAAACAUCUCAACCACAGAAAAUAUUUUUUCCCUAAGCUUACAUGAAAAUUGAGCCUUCCCAAAAUGUAAUUACCUUCACUCCCAUGUAGUAUAAAAUAUACUCUAUGAAAAAAAUAUAAGCUAGAAAAUAAUAAUUAAUAUUUUAAGCCAUAACAAAAGCAAGCAUUUUAACAUUUAGAAAUUAAAUAUUUAUGGAGUCAAUGAUGAAACUUAAGAAUGUUAAAGAAAUAUAAUGUGAGAAUGUAAGAAAUGUGAUGUUAAAGAUAAAGAGAGUAGAUACAAAAUGGAGUCACUCAUGCUGAAGUUUCAUUCCACCAAAAUGAAACUUAAGUUUUUGAGCUUUCAUAAAACCAGGCACAAAAAUGACAGCAAAAUUAUGUUACUCCAACAAUAUUUUGCUUUCAUCCCUAUUUAAAAAUUAACCUCAAAAUGAUCAAUUUGCUAUGUUUUUCUUGUUUCUUCUUUUCUCCGCAUUUUUGCACAUGUAGAACUUAUUCCUUCUGUUUAGUUCACUAAAGCUCCUUUUUAUUUUGUAGACCGGAUAAUACCUAGUCUAUGAAUUGCUAAUAAAAAGCCAAUUAGAACUUUGACACUGAAUUUGUGGAAAUGUUAUCUACAGUGACAAUCAUAAAUUGUUAAAGAAAUAACAAAAAAAAUUACAACAUGUGAAAUUUAUGGGAAACCUCCCAAAUGAGACAGUAUUCUUUGUUUUAGGUAUUUAUUUUAAGGAAAUAAUAAAAAUAAUUCAGAGCCAAAUCUUAAAGCAUAUUACAAAGAACUGGCAUUUUGUAUACUAUGGUAUUGUUUGCUUUACUUUUCUGUUUACAUUUCUAAUAGAUUUUAUGUAUUUUAAUUAAUAAACUUUAUUUUUUAGAGCAGUUUUAGGCUCACAGAAAAAGUACAUGGGAAGUAAAGAGAAUUCCUAUAUAUUCCCAUUCCUACACAUGCACAUCUUCCCCCACUAUUGACAUCCCAUGCUACAGUGGUACAUUUUUUAUAAUCAGUGAAGUUACAUUGGCACAACAUUAUAAUCCAAAGUUCUUAACUUACAUGAACAUUCACUCAUGGUGUUCUACAAAUGUAUAAUAACAAGUGUUGUCCAUUCUAGUAUCAUUCAGAAGAGUUUCUCUGCCCCAAAUUCCUCUCUGCUCUGCCUGUUUACCCUUCCAUUCCACCUAACCCCAGGCAACUACUGAUCUUUCGCUGCCUCCAUUCUUUUGCUUUUCCCGAAUGUCAUGCAGUUAGAAUCAUACAGUACAUAGUCUUUUUAGAUGGGCUCCUUUCACCCAAUAUAUGUUUGAAAUGUUCUGUACACAAAGAAAUGACCAAUGUUUGAAAUCAUGAAUAUCCUAAAUAUCCUAAUGUGAUCAUUAUAUAUUGUAUGCAUGUAUCAAAAUAUCAUAUGUACCCCAUAAAUAUAUAUAAUUAUUAUGUA